rnacentral:rRNA from 1 species
UACAGAGGGUGCGAGCGUUAAUCGGAAUUACUGGGCGUAAAGCGCACGUAGGUGGCGACGUAAGUCGGGUGUGAAAGCCCCGGGCUCAACCUGGGAAUUGCAUUCGAGACUGCAUUGCUGGAGUACGGAAGAGGAAGGCGGAAUUCCCGGUGUAGCGGUGAAAUGCGUAGAGAUGUGGAGGAACACCGAUGGCGAAGGCAGCCCCCUGGGCUGAGAUUGACGCUCAGGCACGAAAGCGUGGGGAGCAAACAGG